rnacentral:rRNA from 1 species
UACGUAGGGGGCAAGCGUUGUCCGGAUUCAUUGGGCGUAAAGAGCGUGUAGGCGGCCACUUAAGUCCUGCGUGAAAUCUUGCGGCUCAACCGCAAGCGGUCGUGGGAAACUGGGUGGCUAGAGUGCGGGAGAGGAGAGUGGAAUUCCUGGUGUAGCGGUGGAAUGCGUAGAUAUCAGGAGGAACACCUGUGGCGAAAGCGGCUCACUGGACCAUAACUGACGCUGAUGCACGAAAGCUGGGGGAGCAAACAGG